rnacentral:tRNA from 1 species
GCGCCUUUAGCUUAGUGGAAGAGUAUUUGACUUCGAAUCAAAGGGUCGUGGGUUCGAUCCCCACAAGGCGCUCCA